GACGAACGCUGGCGGCGUGCUUAACACAUGCAAGUCGAACGGAAAGGCCCUGCUUUUGUGGGGUGCUCGAGUGGCGAACGGGUGAGUAACACGUGAGUAACCUGCCCUUGACUUUGGGAUAACUUCAGGAAACUGGGGCUAAUACCGGAUAGGAGCUCCUGCUGCAUGGUGGGGGUUGGAAAGUUUCGGCGGUUGGGGAUGGACUCGCGGCUUAUCAGCUUGUUGGUGGGGUAGUGGCUUACCAAGGCUUUGACGGUAGCCGGCCUGAGAGGGUGACCGGCCACAUUGGGACUGAGAUACGGCCCAGACUCCUACGGGAGGCGGCAGUGGGGAAUAUUGCACAAUGGGCGGAAGCCUGAUGCAGCAACGCCGCGUGCGGGAUGACGGCCUUCGGGUUGUAAACCGCUUUCGCCUGUGACGAAGCGUGAGUGACGGUAAUGGGUAAAGAAGCACCGGCUAACUACGUG
rnacentral:rRNA from 1 species